AAGCAACACUCUGUGGCAGAUGAGCAAAACUGUCUGACACAAUUUGCGCUUGCUAUAGUAAGAAAGUCUAACCUAUUCCGGUGUUUUCUUCCUCAGUGGGACAAGCCGUUAUAUAGACUUAAACAUU
ensembl:snoRNA SNORA28 small nucleolar RNA SNORA28